rnacentral:rRNA from 1 species
UACGGAGGGUGCGAGCGUUGUCCGGAAUCACUGGGCGUAAAGGGCGCGUAGGCGGCCCGUCAAGCGUGUGGUGAAAGCCCGGGGCUCAACCCCGGGUCGGCCGUGCGGACUGGCGGGCUCGAGCACUGUAGGGGCGGGUGGAAUUCCGGGUGUAGCGGUGGAAUGCGCAGAUAUCAGGAGGAACACCGAUGGCGAAGGCAGCUCGCUGGGACGGUACUGACGCUGAGGCGCGAAAGCGUGGGGAGCGAACAGG